CAGAAGGACUUGCCCUUCAAAAAUCCAUACGUAUCCUUAGGGAGCGUGCCUCUGACUUGUAAAGUGAACGAAAUAAUGAAAAUCCUCACCUAGAAUGAAAACAUUUGUUCAUAUUUCACCCCAAGUUUGUAGGCAGGAAGAAGAACCAAGAGGACUCAAUGCUAUCACCUACAUCUCUCUUACCUGAGAACUUCUCUGCAAGUGCAAUAAAUCUGCUUUCCUAUGAAUGCAGGAGAGCGCUUGAAAU